AUUGAACGCUGGCGGCAUGCUUUACACAUGCAAGUCGAACGGCAGCGCGGGCUUCGGCCUGGCGGCGAGUGGCGAACGGGUGAGUAAUGCAUCGGAACGUGCCCAGUAGUGGGGGAUAGCCCGGCGAAAGCCGGAUUAAUACCGCAUACGACCUGAGGGUGAAAGCGGGGGACCGAAAGGCCUCGCGCUAUUGGAGCGGCCGAUGUCGGAUUAGCUAGUUGGUGGGGUAAAGGCUUACCAAGGCGACGAUCCGUAGCUGGUCUGAGAGGACGACCAGCCACACUGGGACUGAGACACGGCCCAGACUCCUACGGGAGGCAGCAGUGGGGAAUUUUGGACAAAGGGGGCAACCCUGAUCCAGCCAUGCCGCGUGCGGGAAGAAGGCCUUCGGGUUGUAAACCGCUUUUGUUCGGGAAGAAAUCCUCUGGGCUAAUACCCCGGGGGGAUGACGGUACCGGAAGAAUAGGCACCGGCUAACUACGUG
rnacentral:rRNA from 1 species